rnacentral:misc_RNA from 2 species
AUUAUUGAUACAGUUUCUGU